GUUUUUGUUUUAGUGUAAACUCGAAGCACUCGCUUUGUCUUCCCUCCUGGUUUCCCCACCAUCAUCCUCUGUGAGUGACAUACCUGCAUUUCCAUUCCAGGAAUCUUUCCAAGAAAUACCAACCGAAGAAGAACUCGAAGGAGGAGGACGAGUACAAGUACACGUCCUGCAAGGCCUUCCUCUCCACCCUGAACGAGAUGAACGACUACGCGGGGCAGCACGAGCUCAUCUCGGAGAACAUGACGGCGCAGAUCAUGGUGGACCUGGCUCGCUACGUGCAGGAGCUAAAACAGGAGAGGAAAUCGAACUUCCAUGACGGGCGGAAGGCACAGCAGCACAUAGAGACCUGCUGGAAGCAGCUCGAGGCAAGCAAGAGGCGGUUUGAGCGUGACUGCAAAGAGGCCGACCGAGCCCAGCAGUACUUCGAGAAGAUGGACGCCGACAUCAACGUCACCAAGGCCGACGUGGAGAAGGCCCGGCAGCAGGCGCAGGUGCGGCACCAGAUGGCAGAGGACAGCAAAGCCGACUACUCCUCGGUCCUGCAGAAGUUCAACCAGGAGCAGCACGCGUACUACCACGCCCACAUCCCCGGCAUCUUCCAGAAAAUACAAGAGAUGGAGGAGAGGCGGAUCGUGCGGCUGGGGGAGUCCAUGAAGAUGUACGCCGAGGUGGACCGGCAGGUCAUGCCCAUCAUCGGGAAGUGCCUGGACGGCAUCGUGAAGGCAGCCGAGUCCAUCGACCAGAAAAACGACUCCCAGCUGGUCGUCGAAGCUUACAAGUCCGGCUUCGAGCCGCCGGGCGACGUGGAGUUCGAGGAUUAUUCCCAGCCCAUGCAGCGCGCCGUGUCCGACCACAGCCUGUCCAGCUCGCGCGGGGAGGGCAAAGCGGAGCCCAAGUUCGCGGGCAAAUCCAAGGGGAAGCUCUGGCCGUUCAUCAAGAAAAAUAAGCUUGUGUCCCUUUUAACAUCCCCCCGUCAGCCUCCCCCCCCGCCCCCUGCCUCUGCCUCCCCCUCUGCUGUUCCCAACGGCCCCCAGUCUCCCAAGCAGCCAAAGGAACCCCUCUCCCAUCGCUUCAACGAGUUCAUGACCUCCAAACCCAAAAUCCACUGCUUCAGGAGCCUAAAGCGUGGGCUUUCUCUCAAACUGGGCGCCACGCCGGAGGACUUCAGCAACCUCCCACCCGAGCAGAGGCGGAAGAAGCUGCAGCAGAAGGUCGAUGAGCUCAACAAGGACAUCCAGAAGGAGGUGGACCAGAGAGACGCCAUCACAAAGAUGAAGGACGUGUACCUGAGGAACCCUCAGAUGGGGGACCCGGCCAGUCUGGACCACAAACUGGCGGAAGUCAGCCACAACAUCGAAAAGCUGCGGCUGGAGGCGCAGAAAUUCGAGGCCUGGCUGGCGGAGGUGGAAGGGCGGCUGCCGGCCCGCAGGCAGAGCGGGCUGUACGACAGCCAGACGGCCCCGGCUGUCAACAACUGCGUGCAGGACCGCGAGAGCAGCCCAGAUGGCAGCUACACGGAGGAGCAGAGCCAGGAGAGCGAGGCCAAGGUGCUGGCCCCAGACUUCGACGACGAGUUUGACGACGAGGAGCCACUGCCCGCCAUCGGCACCUGCAAGGCGCUGUACACGUUCGAAGGCCAGAACGAAGGGACCAUCUCCGUGGCCGAAGGAGAGACGCUGUACGUCAUUGAGGAGGACAAAGGCGACGGCUGGACCCGCAUUCGGAGGAGCGAGGACGAGGAGGGCUAUGUCCCCACUUCCUACGUCCAAGUCUAUUUGGACAAAAAUGCCAAAGGUGCUAAGACUUAUAUUUAAUACCGCUUACACACACACACUUAAAGCCGUUGGCGCUGUCUGUCCCACGCUGUGGCUGCUCGGGGCAGUUCUGGGCGAGGCCGGAAGGAGAGCACCUCCCAGUGGACGGCAGGUGCCGCCCGCCUGCCCUUGCUUGUCUCGUGUCGCUGUAGUCGCCUCACUCGCUGUGAGAUCGCGCGUGGAAGGCGCCCGCCGCUGCCGACUCAGCUCUGCCGUGAAAUCUGAUAAGCGCUUCUUCCUGUGUGGGCGGCGCAGACCGCUGCAUCCCAGCCUCCGGUCAGUGUUGGAGUGGCAGCAUCCACGUGCGUCCCCCGGGGUGCUCCGUGGCUCGCGUCCGCCAUACUGCCUGGGGCUCUAGGAUGUCACGUCUUGUAGCUUAAUAAACUGGACCAUGCUAGCCGGCUGAGUGCUACAAUCGUUCACUCGGGAGGAAGUCAUAAAGCUAAGAAAAGCCAUCUCCCCCUCCUUGGGUUCGAGUGCUGGUACCGGAAGUGUGCCUCUUUCUUGGACGGGGCCAGCCCCGCAGCUGAGAGCGUCCAGGGGCGCUGGACGCCUGUCUGAUCCCAAGCAACCCACCGCAAGCUGGCCAGCUUUGCGCCAGUAUCUGGAGUAGGGGGAGGGAUUCGACACAGCUGUUCUGGGUGCCCUGGCUCCGCCCAUCGCAGCCGAACCCCUGCCGUCAGCCUCGGCGCCCUCUGUGCUGCUGGCGGCCCCGCGGCAGGUGCAGCGCCCACGCAGGUGGGGCCUGGACAGAACUCCGGGAGGCGGAGACCCCAGAUGCACCGGAGCUUUGCAGAUGUUUUCCUGUGUGUGUCUUCUUUUUAAUCAUUAGCCCAUUUCAGACUCAGCGCUUGCAUCUCCUGGGGAGUGUUUUAGAAUUUCUGGCUCCUUCGUAAGAUGAACCGGAGCCAGAACCAAGUUGACAGAGUCUCACCGGCUCCCGAGGGGUCUGGGCCACGCAGCACCGGUGUGGGCAGGAGGGUGGAGGGCAGGCGGUGGAGCUGCCACGCCGCCACGCCCAGGCGAGGAUCCAGCCUCGGGUGGCAGAGGCAGCCGCGGGGCCCAGAAGGCUUGCGCGAAGCGUCGGCUCUCAUCUGGCUCUGGAAGCUGUUAGCUCACGUUCUCUCUGCCCGCAAGUAGGAAAGAGGCUCCCGGCCUCCGCCUGCGGGCUCUGCCCCAAGUUCAAAGUCCUUUUUUUUUUUUUUUUUUUUUUAAGAUUUAUUUGAAAGAAUUACAGAGAGGCAGGGAAAGAGGGAGGGGGGGAGAGAGAGAGAGAGAGAGGUAGGUAGGUAGGUAGGUAGGUCUUCCAUCUGCUGGUUCACUCCCCAAAUGGCCACAAACAGCCGGAGCUGCGCCGAUCCAGAGCCAGGAGCCAGGAGCUUCUUCCGGGUCUCCCAUGCAGGUGCAGAGGGCAAGGACUUGGUCCAUCUUCUACUGCUUUCCCAGGCCAUAACAGAGAGCUGGAUUGGAAGUGGAGCAGCUGGGAUUCGAACCAGCACCCAUAGGGGAUGUGGGCACUGCAGGUGGCAGGCAGCUCCACCCACUGCACCACAGCGCCGGCCCCCAAAGUCCUGUCAAAGCGACAGCUGCACAUGCAGCCGGGGAGGCGCCUGGCGCCCGAGUCUGGGUUCUGAGGCUGCCCAGGAGUCUGGGAGGGUUCCACGAGAGCCGCAGGCGCGGAACAGAGUCGCCUCCUGCUACUGCCGGCCGCUUCUUCUUUUCUUCUCUUUUUAAACACUUUAUUUGGAAAUAACGGCAGCUCUCGGGAAGCCACACACACCGUAGGUUCCUGUGUGCUCCCCCCAGGGUCGCAGGGCCACAGCUCCCGCAGGUGGAGGACAACAGCUGGACUUUUGAAGGGCGGGGUCACUUCGCGAUUCUCGGUUGCGCCUGUGCCACCACAGCGCGGCCAGAGCCACUCCUGCUGACCGAGCCCCUUGGGGAGCUUCAUCCAGGUCCCCUCCGUGAGGAGGGCAGCGGCCACCCCCCCAGGGAGGGGACCAGCUCUAGGUGCAAGCGAACAAGUGAAACAGCCCGCAGUGGGCCGGCACAGCCGCCCCGCCAGGCCUGCUCUGGAAGGCGUGGGGUCUGGAAUCCAGGGUUGGCGUGGUGUUUCUCACAAGCGCUGUGCACAUUGCGUUUCUGGAGAGCUGAGGUGCGGGGCUGGGGCUGGGGGCUUUGUCACAGUGUUGGUCGCUGGGUCGCAGCCUCGGGACCCGCGACAGCCGCCCGGGACAGGGAUCUGGUAGCUCCAGUGGGUGCCAAGCCACGCGCAGCCAUGGAAACGGCCCCACGAAACCUCCGUCUCCACCGGAAGCACGCUUUUUUUCCUCCAACAGUUUUCUGUUAAAUAAAAGAAACAAAACCGCGGCUGUUUACAGAAACCGCUCUGUGGAUUGAGAGGUGCGCUGGCCGGUGGCCAAGGGGACAGGGUGGGGGCCUGGCCCGAGCCCCGCCCCCUGCCCAGGAGGGGCUGCUGUUCUCGCUUGGUGCAUGUGUGUGUACGUGCGUGUGUUGUGUGCGCAUUGUGUGUGUGUCUACAGUGUGCUUAGUUAACGAUUGCCAAAAUAUUUAGAGUCACUUCCCGCUGGUCAGCCAGACGUGGCCUGGUGUGGCGUGGCUUGUGUUUCUUAAAUGGCCUUCGGUUCAGCUGCACCCACCCCCACCCCCACCCGUACCACCGAGAGACUGAAGGGGAUCCCUGGCGUGGGUCGCGCGGACGGCUCACUCUUCCGUUUGUCUCCUGGGUGACUGCCGGCUGCUGGCCCCCGGUCUCCGCGCUGGCGGGUCCCCUGCCACGGCUCCACGCCGGAGCGCACGGCUGGCGCUGUUCUGAAUCCCUAAACGUGGUGCCCGCGAGUCACAGCCUCGGGUGAGCCUUCUCGGAGGGACGGCGGGGUCUCUCCGUCCCCCCAGGCCCCAGCGCCCGCGCCAGUCUCCACCCACAGCCGCCUGCCGCCCCCUCCUCCUCUCUCCACAGCGCCGCCCCUGGGGCCUCGGCUGUGUCCCUCUGGGGGGCCCCAGUCCACCCUGGGCUUGCCCCGGCCCACCCCCACCCCUUGCAUUUCACACUGUGCCUUUUGUGGGAACCCCGCCGCUGGUCUCCUGGGGACGAGGGGGGCUGGACGCACACGGGGGCGGAGUAGCCCAGGCCGGCUGUUUACGUUAGCAAACUUACCCUCCCCCACGCCUGGUGAGUAUCCCGCCCUCCUCUGGGCCUGGGCUCCCGCUGGGCGCUUGGUGCUGGCCCUCUGGCCCUGUUCCGGCCCGGAGCACCUGCGUGGGCGCUGGGCGUGAAGCCCUGGUUCAGAGGCCCGGGAGCGGCCGCACUGGACAUCGCGGUCCAGCUCCCGGCGACCUGCUUCCUGGCUGGUCUGCCUCUCCCAGGAGCAUCCGGCCUGCUCGCCCCCACCAGGCAUGGUCUCCCCGUUGCAAAGUGAGGUUCCUCCUCCAGCGAGCCCCAGUGCCAGCAUCCUGGGGCUUCGGCAAGGGCACCUCCGUGUGACCCCGUGGCCACCACUCCUGCAUCCCACCCCCACCCCACCCCGGGCCCUGUAGAAUUAGGGGGGCCGCUUCCCUUCCCCUGUGGGUCUUUGGCGGGGUCCCUGGCCCUGCUGCAGGGGGCUUCUCCCCUGCUGGGGGCAGAACUGGCCAGAGGAGCCCCCCCACACACACACACCCCGCACUGGAAGCCGAGGGUGGGGCCGGCAUCUUCAUUCUUCUGUUUGUCCUUGUAACCGUGGCGACCAUGGCUGCCUCCCGCGCCCUGAGUCUAAGACUUCGCGGAGCUGACGGGGCAGGAGCAGCGCCCACAGCGCCCGGGGAGACAGGAGGAAGUGGCUUUGGGUUUCAGCAGUGAGCCUGCGGGCGCUGAAACUGCGGAGAGACCUCAGGGCUUCUUCCGGGGCCCUGCCGUGGCGGCCUCGCUGUGUCACGUGCAGCAGUCACUCGCGAGGCCAAACCCACACCGGCAGGUCUGAGGGUGACGGCCAAGGCCCGGCUGCUGUCCCUGCGGAGCAGCAGGUGCACGGCGACCACGCUGCUGCCGGCAGCGCCACGAAGGGCUCCGCCCCCCCCCCCCCCCCACACACACCAGGGAUGCUGAGUGGGUCCUGGAAGCUUCGGCACUGCACGGCGUGCGUGCACCUCAUCUCGAGGGCCGGGACCGACACAGCCCUCGGCCGCCGCCGCCGCUCGUCCUGCCCGUCGGUCAGACCGGUGCAGCGUAGCCUGUGCCCUCUCCUGGCCCCAGGCCGCCUUUGGUUCAUUCGCUUCGGGUCAUCUGGACCCCACCCUCCAAAAAAGCGAGCGGGUCUCUGGCGCUGGCUCGUGGCUGGGGGGGAGGGGGCCGAGCCCCUGGGCUGGGCGUAGGACGGUGGAGAUGCAGCGCUCGCUCCGGGAAUCCUACUGUGAACUCUGCCCAGGAGCGGCUCACGCAGCCCAGGCGCGUGGGGCUCCCCGUGACCACCUCCCUCCUCCGUGUACCUGCCGCCUGUCUGUCCGCCCGUCGUCCCCAGCGCUGUGAGAAUGACGACCUUGAAAGGAACCUGCCCUGGGACUGAGCUGAACACAAGACGAAGGGGAGGACUUGUGCCCGGUUUUUCCUUUGCAGGAUGAGAAAAAAAAAAUUUUUUUUCCAAGGCAUGGGAAGCUGUGAUGGGAUCCUCCAGUGGUUCUCAGCUGGGCUCACCCUGGACAGGAGCCCGUGGCUGCUGGGACUCGCGUGGCGCAGAGCCCCCGACGCUUUGGGGAACAUCUGGGACGAUGAAGUUUACACAACAUAGAGGUUAUGUUCCUACUAAGUAUUUUUCCAGAAAGUUCCGUCUGGCUUGCCUCCUAUGCUUAGGUCAUCUAAAAACUGUCUAAAAAAAGACCCAGAAUUCCAUGUUAACCUGUGUUGAGCACCUUCGGACGCCUGUGUGUGUCGGGGGCGGCCCCACUGGCCCACUCCCACUGUCGUUGGAGGCGGAGGAAACCAGUACAGUGCUUCCCAGGGGGCCGCUGCCGACUGUGUGUUAAUCCACGUGUUCAAUAAAAGAUAACGUCUGUCCUAGGA